GAUGAAGAACGUAGCGAAAUGCGAUAAGUAAUGUGAAUUGCAGAAUUCAGUGAAUCAUCGAGUUUUUGAACGCAUAUUGCGCCCUCUGGUAUUCCGGGGGGCAUGCCUGUUCGAGCGUCAUUUCAACCCUCAAGCCCCCGGGUUUGGUGUUGGGGAUCGGCUCUGCCCUUCUGGGCGGUGCCGCCCCCGAAAUACAUUGGCGGUCUCGCUGCAGCCUCCAUUGCGUAGUAGCUAACACCUCGCAACUGGAACGCGGCGCGGCCAUGCCGUAAAACCCCAACUUCUGAAUGUUGACCUCGGAUCAGGUAGGAAUACCCGCUGAACUUAAGCAUAUCAAUAAGCGGAGGA
rnacentral:misc_RNA from 1 species